GCUUGCCUUAAUUCUAACUAAUUACAAUUUAGAUGCCCAAUUUGUGAGAUUUGGGCAUUGCUGAAUUGUAUGUUUAUGAAAUGUUCUGGAAAUGGUCUCCUAGCAUCACUGGCUAUACAACUCAAUCCUUACUUUGCUGGAUAUUUACAUUGAUUUGUUACUUGGUUUUGCUCAUGUAUGAUUUACCAUAAGGUUGGAUUUCAGUUGCAGUCUUUGAUGCAUUUACAUUCUCACUCAAAAAACCAUAUUUGUGCAAAGAAUUAUUUACCUUGUAUUAAUGUAUCUAAUGUGAUUUUUCUAUGGCUUACAAAAGUAAUUAACAUUGAUGGUAUUGAGUCUUUUGGUGCAAUGGGGUCAUCUAAAAAGGUCUA
rnacentral:misc_RNA from 1 species